GUGGGGAAUAUUGCACAAUGGGGGAAACCCUGAUGCAGCGACGCCGCGUGAGCGAAGAAGUAUUUCGGUAUGUAAAGCUCUAUCAGCAGGGAAGAAAAUGACGGUACCUGACUAAGAAGCCCCGGCUAACUACGUGCCAGCAGCCGCGGUAAUACGUAGGGGGCAAGCGUUAUCCGGAUUUACUGGGUAUAAAGGGAGCGUAGACGGAAUGGCAAGUCUGAUGUGAAAGGCCGGGGCUCAACCCCGGGACUGCAUUGGAAACUGUCAAUCUGGAGUACCGGAGGGGUAAGUGGAAUUCCUAGUGUAGCGGUGAAAUGCGUAGAUAUUAGGAGGAACACCAGUGGCGAAGGCGGCUUACUGGACGGUAACUGACGUUGAGGCUCGAAAGCGUGGGGAGCAAACAGGAUUAGAUACCCGAGUAGUCC
rnacentral:rRNA from 1 species